rnacentral:rRNA from 1 species
GAACGCGAAGAACCUUACCCGGGCUUGAACUGUGGCGGAACGAUUCGGAGACGAUGAGGCCCUUCGGGGCUGCCACGGAGGUGCUGCAUGGUUGUCGUCAGCUCGUGCCGUGAGGUGUCGGCUUAAGUGCCAUAACGAGCGCAACCCCUGUUUUCAGUUGCCAUCGGGUAAUGCCGGGCACUCUGGAGAUACUGCCACCGCAAGGUGUGAGGAAGGUGGGGAUGACGUCAAAUCAGCACGGCCCUUACGUCCGGGGCUACACACGUGUUACAAUGGCGCAUACAGAGAGUUGGUGGCAUGCGAGUGUCAUCUAAUCCUUAAAGUGCGUCUCAGUUCGGACUGGGGUCUGCAACCCGACCCCACGAAGCUGGAUUCGCUAGUAAUCGCGCAUCAGCCAUGGCGCGGUGAAUACGUUCCCGGGUCUUGUACACACC